GUUCGAAAUAUCGGCGGCUUCUGUCCUGAGGCAACUCCCUUCCUACAUUCUACCGGUUCACUGGAUUUCUACCCAUCUACAUCCUGGAAGUCUGUUUUAUGCCAGUUCCCGACAUGCAGCUGCCAGUGUGCCCGGGCAGCAAGGGGACCUGUGUCGACGUUCGUGUGGAUAGUUUGCCGAAGAACCUGGGGAAAAUUUGAGACAUCACAGUUGGUGGUAGGAACCGAACCCACCACCUCCCACUCUUCAGCACGACCACCACCAACGAGCAGGCACUUGAGCUUGGUGACAUCUGAUGUGGCUCUUUCAUUCGUCAAGCCGUACAUCAGGAGGCAAAAUACAUUACGAAAAGAGCUAUAAAGGAUACACGAAAGCUCGAACUAUGUUUUCUUUGGCUCUUUUCGCAAUGUCCUUGUCAAACCAACUAACCCAGCUAUCUAUACGUUAAGUUCACGCAAAAUAUUUUCGAACUGCGGUGUAUUAUAAAUGUGUAAUCUAAUUUACAAAAGUAGUCGGAGAAAGCAGUAGCGGACGGCCAAUACGAUCCUUCCCUACGGAAGUUCUCAGUGCCUUUUUUUCUUUUUCUUCUCAGUUUGUGCCACACUACGUCACGAGUCACGUUGUCACGACGUUCCCUCGUUCUCUGAUACGCUCUUUCCAAGAGUGGAGGAUUUUGGAAAGGUGUGCGGAAGAGGGGGAGGCCUCGCGCAUGCGCUGCAGGUCACUUCCGCUCGUCGUUCUUUCGCAGGAGCUCAUUUUCUUCGUUGGAGGACACGCAGCAGAGAAUAAAAAAUAAAUAAGAAAAGAUAAUGAAUAAAUAAAAGGUCGCCGCAGUGCUCCUUUAACUCGCUCAGCAAUGCCGCUGUUGCGCGGUUUUGAGCAAUAAAAUUUUAUGCUGUAGAUUCUA